GUGCGAACACAUCCUGUUGACAAGUUGUUGGAACAGCAUUGCUACAAGUCUGCUGCAGGUUUAUUACAAUUUGUGCGUUUUUACUUAUGUAAUCUACAGCUGAAAUUAAAAAAGUCCUUUAAUAGUCACUAUGUUUUUCAAAACGUGAUCGGCGUUAACUUAAAAUAAUAAUUCGGCUAUGAGACUACAUAAAAGAGACAAAUACCACGC